AGCCGCGGUAAUACGGAGGGUGCGAGCGUUAAUCGGAAUUACUGGGCGUAAAGCGCAUGCAGGUGGUUUGUUAAGUCAGAUGUGAAAGCCCGGGGCUCAACCUCGGAAUUGCAUUUGAAACUGGCAGGCUAGAGUACUGUAGAGGGGGGUAGAAUUUCAGGUGUAGCGGUGAAAUGCGUAGAGAUCUGAAGGAAUACCGGUGGCGAAGGCGGCCCCCUGGACAGAUACUGACACUCAGAUGCGAAAGCGUGGGGAGCAAACAGGAUUAGAUACCCUGGUAGUCC
rnacentral:rRNA from 1 species